rnacentral:misc_RNA from 1 species
AUUCUCUUCUUCUUCUUCUUCUCUCUUUCCUGUUGCUCGUGAUCAUCAGAAUGGCUGAAGCAGCUGCAAAGCAAAAUUUUUUGGAUGUGACUUUGCAGAAGAUAAACCCUAAUGGAGAACUGCAGCAAGAUCCUAGCUGGGUAGCCAUGAAAGGUGGUUUUGGUGCUUGUGAGUAUGAUGAAUCAUCCAUGGAAGAUUCAACAAACUCAGCGGCUUCUUCUUCUUCUUCAAUAGAUUUAUUAGAAGAUGCAUCUUCUGCAGCAUCAUCAUCAUCAUCAUCAUCGACAUCACAUGCGAAUGGACCUCUAUAUGAAUUAUCAGAGCUCGUGGCCCAACUUCCCAUCAAGAGAGGCCUUUCAAAGUUUUAUGAAGGGAAAUCUCAGUCUUAUACAUCUCUAGCAAGUGUGAGGAGCAUAGAAGAUCUUGCAAAGAAAGUGACUGCAACUCCAUACAGAUCUAAAAUGAAGUCUUGCAAGAGCUAUGCUGGGGUUUUAGAUAGCCACAAGUGCUACAGUCCGAAGGCUACCAUAUCAAAAAGGGCUUCACCAUAUCAAAAACGAUCUUUUUCAUCUUCUUUAGGUAAGAGAGGUUCUUUACUGGGCAAUUGUUAGGGCCUCACCCAUUCUAGAGAUGUGCAUAAGCCAUAUAUAUAUGACAACUUGCGGGGUUUACAUUGCAAGCUUGUCUUUUUGGUAUUUACAUAUGUAAGGAAGAGGAAAUAUUUAAUUACAAUUAAUACAUAGCAAAAUUAAAGCUAAGCAUUUUGUAGUUCUAAGCAAUCGAUUCGUACAUAUAAAGCAUGAAGGCUGAUGCAGGAGGA